GCCUACGGGGCGCAGCAGUGAGGAAUAUUGGUCAAUGGUCGGGAGACUGAACCAGCCAAGCCGCGUGAGGGAUGAAGGUACAGAGUAUCGUAAACCUCUUUUGUCAGGGAACAAAGGCGGGGACGCGUCCCCAGAUGAGUGUACCUGAAGAAAAAGCAUCGGCUAACUCCGUGCCAGCAGCCGCGGUAAUACGGAGGAUGCGAGCGUUAUCCGGAUUUAUUGGGUUUAAAGGGUGCGCAGGCGGUCUGUUAAGUCAGCGGUCAAAGCCCGGGGCUCAACCCCGGCCCGCCGUGGAAACUGGCAGU
rnacentral:rRNA from 1 species